UAGGGAAUCUUCCGCAAUGGGCGAAAGCUUGACGGAGCAACGCCGCGUGAGUGAUGAAGGUCUUCGGAUCGUAAAACUCUGUUAUUAGGGAAGAACAAAUGUGUAAGUAACUAUGCACGUCUUGACGGUACCUAAUCAGAAAGCCACGGCUAACUACGUGCCAGCAGCCGCGGUAAUACGUAGGUGGCAAGCGUUAUCCGGAAUUAUUGGGCGUAAAGCGCGCGUAGGCGGUUUUUUAAGUCUGAUGUGAAAGCCCACGGCUCAACCGUAGAGGGUCAUUGGAAACUGGAAAACUUGAAUGCAGAAGAGGAAAGUGGAAUUCCAUGUGUAGCGGUGAAAUGCGCAGAGAUAUGGAGGAACACCAGUGGCGAAGGCGACUUUCUGGUCUGUAACUGACGCUGAUGUGCGAAAGCGUGGGGAUCAAACAGG
rnacentral:rRNA from 1 species